rnacentral:rRNA from 1 species
UACAGAGGUGGCAAGCGUUGUUCGGAAUUACUGGGCGUAAAGGGCGCGUAGGCGGCCUACUAAGUCAGACGUGAAAUCCCAGGCUUAACUUGGGAACUGCGUCUGAUACUGGAAGGCUUGAGUGCGGGAGAGGGAUGUGGAAUUCCAGGUGUAGCGGUGAAAUGCGUAGAUAUCUGGAGGAACACCGGUGGCGAAGGCGGC